UACGGGGGGGGCAAGCGUUGUUCGGAAUUACUGGGCGUAAAGAGCGUGUAGGCGGCCCGAUAAGUCCGCCGUGAAAGUCCAGGGCUCAACCCUGGGAUGCCGGUGGAAACUGUCGGGCUAGAGUCCGGAAGAGGCGAGUGGAAUUCCUGGUGUAGCGGUGAAAUGCGCAGAUAUCUGGAGGAACACCGGUGGCGAAGGCGGCAUCCUGGACCGAGAUCGACGCUGAGGCGCGAAAGCUAGGGGAGCAAACGGG
rnacentral:rRNA from 1 species